GAUGAACGCUGGCGGCGUGCCUAAUACAUGCAAGUCGAGCGAACAGACGAGGAGCUUGCUCCUCUGACGUUAGCGGCGGACGGGUGAGUAACACGUGGAUAACCUACCUAUAAGACUGGGAUAACUUCGGGAAACCGGAGCUAAUACCGGAGAAUAUAUUGAACCGCAUGGUUCAAUAGUGAAAGACGGUUUUGCUGUCACUUAUAGAUGGAUCCGCGCCGCAUUAGCUAGUUGGUAAGGUAACGGCUUACCAAGGCAACGAUGCGUAGCCGACGUGAGAGGGUGAUCGGCCACACUGGAACUGAGACACGGUCCAGACUCCUACGGGAGGCAGCAGUAGGGAAUCUUCCGCAAUGGGCGAAAGCUUGACGGAGCAACGCCGCGUGAGUGAUGAAGGUCUUCGGAUCGUAAAACUCUGUUAUUGGGGAAGAACAAAUGUGUAAGUAACUAUGCACGUCUUGACGGUGCCGAAUCAGAAAGCCCCGGCUAACUACGUG
rnacentral:rRNA from 1 species